UACAGAGGUCUCAAGCGUUGUUCGGAUUCAUUGGGCGUAAAGGGUGCGUAGGCGGCGCGGUAAGUCGGGUGUGAAAUCUCGGAGCUUAACUCCGAAACUGCAUUCGAUACUGCCGUGCUUGAGGACUGGAGAGGAGACUGGAAUUUACGGUGUAGCGGUGAAAUGCGCAGAUAUCAGGAGGAACACCGGUGGCGAAGGCGGGUCUCUGGGCAACAACUGACGCUGAGGAGCGAAAGUGUGGGGAGCGAACAGG
rnacentral:rRNA from 1 species